AGUCACUCCAAAUCCUUCAAAUAAGUAGCUUAACCCAGAGAGGAGGUACUCACUGCAUAUAUCUAAAAUGUAAACCACCCCAUUCAUGACAAUGCAAGAAUUAUGGGUGUAGGCUGAGCAAGAGAAAAUAGAAGAGAAGAAAAUAUGAAGAUGAGAACAGUAAGGGAAAAAAAAGGAACUUCAUAGCUCAACCUAGAAACUAAGUCUAAAUCUCUGGGGUAAAUUUGGUAAAGAUUGGUCUUAUGUUAAGAUCUUAUUAAUCAAGAAACACAUGAUCAUCCUUUUUUUCUAGAAAAGCAGAAAUAGAAAACAAAAUCAUGUGGAAAGAUAAUUCACAGCAUCAAUAAAUUAAGAUUUUUCUUCACAAUAAAAAGUAAAUAGAGAUGACAAAAUAAAACCGAAAUUACAUGAAUAGGUUUUUCCUCCAAAUAACUACAAGCCUAGGCAUCCAUAGAUUAACAUAAAAAGUAGAAGAGAAGGAGAAUGAACUCAAUAAUCAGAAAAUGCAGAAACACAAGAAUUGCAAAAGAUGGAAAUAAUUUGAUUUACCAAGAUUAGUUGACGUAGAACCACAAAGAACACUCAAAAGGGGAAAUGGAAAUGCUCUUUAGUUUGAUUAGUUCUCCAUUGUCAAUAAUAAUCAUAAUCAGCUCUCUAAAAGUUAUCUAAGUCUCUGUUUUGUGGAAAAUAAUUUAUGUAUGAAAAAUGUUUUUCAUGGGUUUUAAUCGUAAUCAUCUGAAUGUGUUUGUGGAUGAAAAAUAGCCACAAAGUUAAGGGAGAGAUUAAGAAAUGCCAAAUCGAUGUGAAACACUCAAAGGAGAAAAGGAA
rnacentral:misc_RNA from 1 species